rnacentral:sRNA from 1 species
UUUUGGAUAAGGGAUAGUAGUGGAAAUCCUUUUUUGAGUUUUUUUAACUCAAAAAGAUUGUAACAAAUAGCCCGACCCUCC